rnacentral:rRNA from 1 species
GAUGAACGCUGGCGGCGUGCCUAAUACAUGCAAGUCGAGCGAACAGACGAGGAGCUUGCUCCUCUGACGUUAGCGGCGGACGGGUGAGUAACACGUGGAUAACCUACCUAUAAGACUGGGAUAACUUCGGGAAACCGGAGCUAAUACCGGAUAAUAUAUUGAACCGCAUGGUUCAAUAGUGAAAGACGGUUUUGCUGUCACUUAUAGAUGGAUCCGCGCCGCAUUAGCUAGUUGGUAAGGUAACGGCUUACCAAGGCAACGAUGCGUAGCCGACCUGAGAGGGUGAUCGCCCACACUGGAACGGAGACACGGUCCAGACUCCUACGGGAGGCAGCAGUAGGGAAUCUUCCGCAAUGGGCGAAGGCCGGACGGAGCAACGCCGCGUGAGUGAUGAAGGUCUUCGGAUCGUAAAACUCUGUUAUUAGGGGGGAACAAAUGUGUAAGUAACUAUGCACGUCUUGACGGUACCUAAUCAGAAAGCCACGGCUAACUACGUG